CUGCAAAAAACACAUUUUCAAUCUCUAUUUUCUCUCUUUGAUUUCCUUUGUUCUGUCUUAUUCUCUAAUUCUCGCAAGCCUGGAAAUAGGGGAGCUUUCUUCUCCUUCUUCGUUUGUUUUUCCCUCUCGUUCGUGCAAGGAAGAUGGUCUGGUGGUGGCGAGAAUCGACGGCGCUACGAAGGCGCGACUCAAGCUUGUUCUCGCCUUCGAUGGCGGUUCGCAGUGGACUUCCAGGGUCCUUCAUUGUGCGGAUGGACCUUCUCCUUUUCCCUUUCUUGUUCUGGCUCGCGAUGUAAGACAAGAGGGCGUUCUCGUGGUGGUCGAGAUCGCGGAAGCUCCCUCUUUUUGAAGCAACCAACGACGGUAAUCUGUUAUUGCAUUGGGGUUUCUGAUCUUUCUUCUGACUUGGGAAUUCUCUUUUAGGAGCUCUGUUCUUGCUUUCUCAAAUUGUGUUUUGGGGUCAAAGUUCUGCUUUGGAAAAAUCUUGUGAUCUUGAUUCCGUAAUGUUUCAGUUGGGGUUGAUGAUCGAGAAUUUGGGGGUUAUGGCUUUCAGAUUCUGUUUUGGAAUUGGGGUCCCUGUUUUGAGUUUAUGACCUCAGGGUUUGAGUGUAGGGUGUUUGAGUUAAAUUUCUGGGUUUUCUUUUCUUCGCAAUUACGGACUGUUGGUGAUGGUUGUGCGAAAUAGGGCAGGUCUGGAGGACUCAUAAUCAUAAUCUAUUGUUUUAAUUAAUGGUGUGAGAAAGAUGGGGACUACGCCUGAGGCCAACGCGAGUAAUGUAGUGGACGAAGAAACACUCGGCGACUACAUGCUCUCUAACGUGGCUUCCAACUCCGACCUCGCUGACCAGGGUCAGUCAGCAGCAGCGCUCCUCCGCAUUCCAACUCCCUCGAAGGCGGCCACAGUGCCCUCGAGGCUCAUAGUCUGCCUCCCGCGAAUUGUAAGGAAUGAUUGUUUUUUUUUUCUUCUAUAUCUUAAAUUAUGGGAGUAAUGCAUAUACAUAUAUAUUACAGAUAUGAGCACAACUUUUUCGCUGGAAUCCUGUCAUCCAAUUGCAAAUUGUUAAUAUUUGAUGAGUUUGUCCACUUUCACAUUUGUUAAUUUAAUACUCAUUCAUACCAUAACUUUUCUGUUUGUAUAAUAAUGUGUACAUAUAGUUUUUGCAAUGAGUGCGCAGAAAUUGAACUUGAAAUUAUGUUAUGAAAAGUUAAGAGAAAAAAAAAAAAAAAAAACUUGUGCCACAGGGCCUGAACCUUGAUCCAUCAUUGCUAAGGUUUAUUCGACUCUUCACCCCGCUGGGUGUGGAGGAGGGGAGGGAUUGCAGUUGUAUGUUGGGUACAGUCUCUUGAGUGAUUGAAGAAUGGAGUUUGAGCAAUUGGGGAGAAUAGUGAGAUCUUGAGUGGUCUUUGUGGCUUCAGGAGGAGUGUGAUUCUCGCGGUUCUGUGAUUUUGAACAAGUAUAAGGAGUAUAGGAAGUUGGCUAAGUUGUCCUCUGAGAUAAUGCUCACGAGAGGUAGAGAUAUAUUUGGAGGAGAUUCUCUCCCUUAUGCAGCUUGGUGAUUACACUGAAUUCAUGAUUUCAAAGAUCAAAGGGCACUUCUGUUGAUCCUGAGUUGCUUCCCCGUGCAGAGCUUUAGGAGUGGCAAUAUCAGCAAGUUGUGACCCUGAGUUGCUUCUGUUAACUGGAUUUUAUGUGAUUUUGGAGGGAUUUACACGUCAGGAAAGCAAUAAGGAUUGAUGAACACGUGCCUUUACUUCUUUACCACUUACUUCUAUGGUGUAUGAUGUAUUUUAUGUAUUGCACAGUUGCCUGCGGAGGGCAAUAUCCACUUCCAAUAUCAGUUCUGUUGUUGCCGUUUUGAGUGGUGCCAGCAUUUUACUCGGUAAUGAAUAUAAUGAAAUAUAAUAUGGACAGCAAAAAAUAAGAGAGCCUUGGUGCAAAGUUGUUAUUUGGUGGCGUUGGUGUGCAAAAGACAGAAAUUGCAACAUAUGGAUGUUCUGAAGCUAAAACAUGAAAUUGAAGACCAGUGUGCUGAGGUGAGUAUAGUUGGCACAUCAUUAUGAGGUAAUUUUAGGUUCCUAGGUUAUGAAGACCAGUGUUUGUGCAGUUUGUGUCAUUUAAUUUGUACAGGAUUUAGUUUUGAAUUUCUCUAACAUGAUUUAGAGUUUUAUAGACUGUAUAGGAUAAAACCAAUUUCAAGAUUGACAUUUUUUGCAACUUCAAAACCUCAAAACCACACAGAUUGAGGAUGCUUCUGUCCUUAGUUUAUAAUGUAUAUGUAGGUCAUUUUCUUUAUUUUUAUGUAUACACAAGUUUAUGCUACUACGGGAGAAUAAAGAUUAUUACGGUUCACUUUGUAUGAUAAAUAUUAGGA
rnacentral:lncRNA from 1 species